rnacentral:tRNA from 1 species
AAAGGGAGACCUAAUUCGGGUAGAAGACGAAAAAAAAGUAGUCGCUACCAAGAAUCAAUCCCAAAAGGUCGGAGCGAGGCGAAAUUGGCUUUCAAACUAGGUUCUGGGUUCAAACAAGACCUGAAUCAGGAACAAGGGCUAUUAGCUCAGGUGGUUAGAGCGCACCCCUGAUAAGGGUGAGGUCCCUGGUUCGAGUCCAGGAUGGCCCACCUGCACAGGUGGCAAAAACAAGAGAAGCGAGGAAUCAGCACCUUAUCUUACUUAUAUAGUAAGAGAGAAUGCUGGCUCUGAGUAAAGAGUCCAGAGGAACCUUGAAAACUGCAUAGAGCUAGGUGAAAAAGCCAAAAAAGAAGACCGCAAG